GAUGAACGCUGGCGGCGUGCCUAAUACAUGCAAGUCGAGCGAACGGACGAGAAGCUUGCUUUUCUGAUGUUAGCGGCGGACGGGUGAGUAACACGUGGAUAACCUACCUAUAAGACUGGGAUAACUUCGGGAAACCGGAGCUAAUACCGGAUAAUAUUUUGAACCGCAUGGUUCAAAAGUGAAAGACGGUCUUGCUGUCACUUAUAGAUGGAUCCGCGCUGCAUUAGCUAGUUGGUAAGGUAACGGCUUACCAAGGCAGCGAUGCAUAGCCGACCUGAGAGGGUGAUAGGCCACACUGGAACUGAGACACGGUCCAGACUCCUACGGGAGGCAGCAGUAGGGAAUCUUCCGCAAUGGGCGAAAGCCUGACGGAGCAACGCCGCGUGAGUGAUGAAGGUCUUCGGAUCGUAAAACUCUGUUAUUAGGGAAGAACAUAUGUGUAAGUAACUGUGCACAUCUUGACGGUACCUAAUCAGAAAGCCACGGCUAACUACGUG
rnacentral:rRNA from 1 species